rnacentral:lncRNA from 1 species
GUUGACAAGCACCUAUAGACAUAGACCUCUAUAACUUUUCUCUUCAAACGCGUCGUCUGUAUAUACACCAUAAUUAUUUUCGCAAAGCUAUUAAUAAAAAUUAAACAAAUACUCUGUAUAUGCUGAAAUAUACAGAGUAUUUCAGCAAUCGCGUAGGAAUUUCAAGAACAAAAUCAUUCUUCCAAACGGGGCCUAAAGAGGUUGAAUAUAUAUAAUGUACGGUAGUCAAUAGGUAGACCAAUCUCGCUCGCUAGUAAGAUAGAUUCAGAUUGCAGUUGAGAUCUGCCAUAAACUAAUGAAUCACGAACCAAUAAUUAGCUACGAUAGUCUGCCUUCUCGACACUGUUUGCAUUGACCGUACUUGGCAGUUGGCAGCAAGGGAGCACAUGCCUAGCAUGUGUAGCUACGGCAGCCGUGCAUGUGUACCUUGCUCCCUUGCAUUGACAAAUCAUGUCGUCGGUUAAGCUUACUAGCUAAGCAUGCGCAUGAUUGUACAGCAGUAUGCAGAUUGGGAAUUUACUGAGCAAUGACUGCUUCUCAGGACGGGUCAUGCGUGUGUGUAAGGUACAGCGAAGCAUGCAGAUCGAGGCUCUGAAUGUUCUUGUUCUCUGCAAUCUACCAUCUAUUCUCAGAAACUGGAUCUGAGACCUGACCUGAGCUGAUGGAGAGUGAAGAACAAGUUGGAGACUGAUGGUAACUUAUCUGGUAUUGAGGCCUCGCAAAGCUUUGUUUGAGUCGAAAGAACUGCCAUACGGGCCGGAUCAAAUCAAAGACCAUCCACCAAAUGGGCCUGAAGACAGUUUAGAAUCUCGGCCCAUCCACACGGAUGUGCGAGAUUUACGAUUGUGUUGUACUAACACGAUGAAUCUUAUCAGUAGUUGUCAAUUUUUACGCUUUUAUUAAUUGCGGUAUUAUUAAAGGACCUGGUGUACAUAUUUUAAGCGUUACCCGGGGGUUCUGAAGCAAGCAGGCUUUCUAAAUGUUCUUAACCUUGUAAUCUUGGGAAUUGGAAUGGAACGAGGGAAACGAGAAAGAUGGGGGAAGACUAGUGGGCCAAAGCGAACUCGCACUCAUCUUAACACUGGGCCGAGAUUUAUCUGAAUGCAGCGUUCUGAAUCCGCAGCCCACAAGAUCAAUCAGCAGAACGAGCAGCAAUGCACAAGGAUUUUGAACUGGUUUGAAAAGUCAUGGCUAAAAUGAGAGAAAAACAUUGUUGGUUGCCAGAAAAAAUACGACUGAUAUAACUGAUCUUUUUGAAAGUCUUUUGAAACGCGAAUAGCUGGAGUGCACAUACUGACAUACUCCGUAUUCUAGAUCAUCUUAACUCUUAAACCCCCAAGUCAUCGUCUCAGUUUAUACAUACACUCGCCAGCACAAAGGUCAGUGAAAAAACAUUCUGGAAAGAACUAUUAUAAUUUAGAAGAAUAGAACGAAUUAUAAAAUACUAGAAGUAUGUCCCGCACGUUGCCAUGAGACGUUCUUAUAAAAAAUAUAUUACUAUAUGGUAUUAUGUAUACUGUAUCAGUGUGUAUAUAUAUAUAUGUAUUUAUACUUGUUUAUCGGUUUGAGUAUGUUUAUAUACUCAUAUUAAGAUACUCUAGAUCUUACCAUGUGAAAAAUUUUCAAAAAAAAUAUAUUUUAAAUAUAUUACUAAAAUGCCACUACUAUAUUAUAUACAAUAAGUAUAACCAUAUAUUCUAUGUAUGUAUGCAUACUUAACAUACAUAUCACUCUAGAUGGUCUAGUAUGAUCAUAUACUUUGUCUAUAUACAUUUCGUCCGGUCAUAUAUACCUUAAAUCUAGAGAUAUAUAGAUGAGAGUAACUACACGCGCGUGUAAAAGAAACGUGUCUAUAUAUAUAUAUAUAUAUAUAUAUAUAUAUAUAUAUAUAUAUAUAUAUAUAUAUAUAUAUAUAUAUAUAUAUAUAUAUAUAUAUAUAUAUAUAUAUAUAUAUAUGAUUUGUAUAUUAUUUUUUCAUAUCAGAUUUGAUAAGAAUCGGUAAGCUAAUAGAAGAAAAACCAAUAAAAUAUUUGACCACAUUGUAGGAGAUAUGUGAUAAAAUAAAUAGUAUAUGUAGAUAACUUUACUUUAAUAUAUUAAAGAUCAAAAGUAUUGCACAUAAUAAAGAGAAUGUAGACAUUUUUUUGUAAUUAAUAUAAGGAUGACAUGGAUAGCUUGCACAGAAGGAUUGCAAGUUAGUGGGACACUUAGUGAAAAAUGAUACGGACAUCUUGCAUGAAGGGAAAAACAAUUCAGUGAGGUUUAGCUUUAUAAAAAUUCAAAAUUGGGUUUUUUUAAGAGGAGGAUGAAGAUGCUGCCGUGCCUUACUUUUUUUUUGAGGGGCUGCGGUGUCGUACCUUUAGAUGUGUGCGUCGAUGGAGCCAUGGAGAUGGAGCCACUGGGCUGGGUGUGGGCUGCAUUUGUAAAUGAACCACCGUGCAAAAAGCGGCCCACAAAAAGAUGUGUGCCUCUGUCGCCAGGGCGUUGUGCCGAGAAUUACUUUUUGUUUGACACAAAGUACUACUUUAGGUCAAAUUCUUUACCGUUUUAUAUAUAUAUAUAACUUUACCAUUUAACGUUUAGGAUAAUCCUGAGAUGGUAGCAUCUCCAAGAGUACCUUAAUUUUUUCUUCCCAAAUCAUAUAGCUUUGCAACUCCUAAAAACAUAUUGGGAGAAAAAAAAAGUCCAUCUCCAAGAGUUUUCAAUAAUCCACUCCUAAAAUAUAAGAUAAUUUUGCAUCAAGAAUCCUAUACAGAGUGAUGCGCACGAUAAAGGCCGCACCAGUUUUUACGCAGGAUACCAUCCUAUUUAGUAAUUACCAAUAAAUAGGGAAGAGAUAUAGGGUACUCUUGGAGAUGAGUCUUUCUCUUUUUUUUUCCAAAAAAAUAUGGAUACGAAAAGGGAUAUGGGGUACUCUUAGAAAUGCUCGGCUCCUGUGAUGAACUCGGCUACAAACCUGUUCAUCCAAUAUGCUCGUAGAUGUAGAAUUUGCAUGUGUAUUUAUAGGAGUAAAUGUACGUACGUGGCUUCUUUGUGGCUAUUUACCGUAUAAUGUUUUAAAAGAGAGAGAAACUUGGUAUGGCAACUUUUUCUAGUUAUAGUGACUUUGGAGUUAGUGCUCACCAUUUUUCAGUAGUUUAUAAUAAACUUUUAAAUGAAUAAUGGGCCUGUUGGUCGAUGGGACUCAACUCAGCUGCUGCCCCCCAACGACCCACUUGUCACAUGUGUGCGAUUUCUGCCUAAAAAAGAACUCUAUGCGAAUCGUCGGCAACCAGAAGCAUUUUACAGUGCAAAAGUCUCCUGAUCGAUCGAUCCAUCGGUGCCUUUCCGCGCACAUGAUUGUAUGGAUGCUGCUUGCACGCAUGCAGUUCAUCCAAGCGUUGCACACACGCAUUCCUGGACCACAAACUGCUCGUUCAGGUUGCUGGGGACCUUGAGGUCGUACUUGUUUUAUUUGUUGGGGAUCAUGUGAAGUAGAUGCACGUCUGUAGGUAUUUUUGCCUGAUCGACUCAGCUGCUCGUCUCUAUCUUCACUCUUUACUCUGAAAGUCUGAAGAAUGCAAGGACAGUUAGAAGCUUCAGCAGGUAUAGUAUUUCUGUAUUUGAAUGCAUGCACAGGUCUAUACCGCUGGUUAGCAGCUCAACCACCACAUGAUCUUCAGUCAGUUGCUUUCAGUUUGAUGAAGAACCAGAUGCCUGUGUGCACUGAAGGACGUAGACCAAUUAACUCACGUAGCUCGCAGAUGUGGAUCCGUCUGCUUCAGAUUUCAGUCGGUGUUGAACUGACCCCUGCUGGUCCCAACGUCUGUCCUGGAAUGCUUAUGUACUUUAAGUAUAACUAGAAUAUCUUAAGGUUCUUCUUUAUGGCAAGAAUCAAUCAACCAUUGCUUUCAGUUUCAGUCAGUUUCAGACAGCCUAGGUGACUCAUUCUCCUGCUUCAACAACUUUGAACAUGCAGUGACAUAUGCAUGGGCCUGGAUCACACAUCUUUCUGAUGAGCUUACUAGCUAGGACAGCAAAGACAAGAAACUCUUCAGACAGUUGAGCUUAUAAUCAAGUUGCAGUAAUCUUCCUUGACUUUUAUCUGCUGCUACUAUCUCACAAGCUGACGUACAGGAUCAAUGCAACACACCACCCGUAACAAUAAUAUGAUAUGCUGCUAGGUAGGAGUAUUUUCUUGCAGGUUUGAGGCAGCAGAAUCUCUUGGAGCCGUAGUCUGCACUCCAGAAGUUCAUGAGGAAAUGAUGACUCGUAGUCGAAGCACCCACACGGUGUUCAGAUGAUGCUGUUCUAUGAUUAGUCAUGAGGGGCCGUAUCCCUGCUUCUUUUGUGAUGAAGCUAAAAAAGGGCAGGGAAAGAUAUAAACCGUACACGGAGUCUCAUGUGAUUCAUGAUAUUUGUGGGUGGCUCUGAUCUGAUGCCAUGGGAUCGCAAGUGAACAAUGAUGCUCCUCAUCUCUGCCUGAUCUGUGGGACUUUUUUCCCCUCACAUUCCAAAAGAAUGGCCCAGAAGAAACUUCCAGUUCAGCUUUUGGUGGGUAACAUGUGAGGAAGCAAGCUGUUGGGGUUGGGGAUCAGAUGUGAAUUGAUAUGCCUCAAAAUAAAUCAGAUAAAAAUCCACCUUUAGUGUUGCUAUUUUUGUGUGUUGCGUGUCAGCAAAGUUGACAUAAGAAAGAGAUGAUGUUCAUGUUGGUAAAUGUGACUGGUGGUGAUUCUAGUAAAAUUGCAGCUGGUAAUAAGUUGCAUCAUUCUUGGCGUUCUCUGCUGAAGCUUUGUUGAUAUAUAGGUGCCAUCACAUGUAUGGACUAUUAUGGUUGCUUAGUGCUUGGACAAAUGGACCACCCAAUUAAGUUUGCACUGCUGACAUGCAUUUUGGAAAGCUCAAAAAGCCCAUGACUGACAAGUGACAAGCAUAUAUCCUUACCACAUGUCUGCAUCUGGGGGCAGAAAAACUCAAAAUCUUAUUAAAAGAACUGACCCAUUUGUGCUCUCUCUACUACGUGUGAACUAAUCAUGCUGAGCAUUUGUGGUUAGCAGCCCAACAGUCUUUUAUUUUUAGUUGGGGAAUGAGAAACCAAGGAUGACAAAUCGGUGCCCUUACCUAACCUUUUUCUGUGUGUUGUUCAUCAGAAAGGGUAAAAAAUACAUAUCUUCAGAAACUAAGGUUAAUGCUUUUCAUCUUUUUAUUAGAAGCUUGUCCACAGAAUUCAGCUCAGAAAAAGACAGCAGGCCGACUGAAGGAGAAGCCAAGCCGUGACGAUGACAGGAAACCACUGAUUUGCUGCACCACCACGCCACUCCGUCCCUGUGUUUUCAUAAAUCCACAGCGGUUGAUCUGAAACGCGACGAGCCGCGCAGCUACUGAUGAUGAUCGGAAGAAUCCACGGCGGAUUGACGGAAGCACGACGGCGGUGAUCGAUCGGCGGCAACCAUGUGUUCCGCGCGGUUGGUGCGCGGCCGGCAUGGCGCCAAUUCAAGCCGCCAAAGGCAUUUGACAAGAUCACCUCGACACCUGUCAAGUCUUGGCGAAGUGCGUGCGUGCGUGCGACUACGCAAGGGCAAGGCUAGCUAUCGCUGGAGGAGGUGGAGCCAGCCCCCGGAUGGGAUGGGAGUUGGGAGCUUUUGCACUAGAGUAGUUUAUAGACGUGAUGUGAUUCUUCCCGUAAUCAGGAUCCCCAACAACCGAAGAGGAAGCAAAGAGGCAGCUGGGACUGGGAGCGUCGUCGUCACCGGUGGCCGCGUGAGCCGUAAUGCCGUAUCGCCGUGCGUGCAUCCCAUGGAUGGCAAUGGCAAUAUUCAAUGGGCGCGAGGACAUGGGCUGGCAGGACAUGCAUGCGCACUGAUCCGUGGGUGUGUUCAUUUGGUCGUCAUAAAGAAUACCGCGUCCAUUACAACUCUACUAGCGAAAUUCAAGUCCAAGUUAUCUUGAGUUCGACUAUAUUUACUUUAUAUACUAAAAAGUAUCAAUGUUUAUUAUAUUAUAUUUAUAAUAAAAUAUAUUUUACUGUAUCAGUAAUAUCUAUAUCUAUAUCUAUUAUAGUCCUAAAUCUCAUUAGCCAUCAUAUCUCGACAUGCAAGCAUUCCAACUCAACAAUUUACUAUCACAUGCAUUUAAUUGUUAUCGUUAGUAUGCCAUGCCAUCCAUGACCAUGAACUUACAAUAUUUUAUUCCAUCAUAUAAGUAAUUUACUCUAGUUUUGUUCUAAUUCAUUGACAGUUUCUACAACAACACACAGGGUAUGCUUGUAGUUUAUCUAAUGAUAGAACUAGAAUUAUAUUAUUUUCAAGAUGGAGGCAGUAAGAGUUUACUUCAAGAUAUGCUCGUCUACUUCUUGAGUUACACACGCGAUCUAAGAUUUGCUCACCGUGCUUUGUACCGCCGAUGGUGUCAUCCGCCCCCACGCCGAUGUGGAGAAAGAGAGAGAACAGAGAAAAGAAACAUACGAGAGAGAAAUAAAACAGCAUGUUUAUUCAAGUUUAUCUGUCGAAUCUGUAAAUCAUUCAGUAGUGUUUUUUUAUCACAAUAAAUCACCGAACAAUAUUUUCAGCCAUGACUUUUCAGCCAAGCGAACAUGUUUAAAUAUGUGGGCUUCAUUGCCAUGUGUUGUUCAUGUCAAAGAUAUCAUCCUUUAAAACAGCUAGAUGGCUAAAUCCAAACAAUUUUGGUAGUUGGAUUUCGUCAAAGAUUUCUGAUUCUUAAGUUAGUAUAUGGCACAAAACCCUAACAAUAGUUGUAUGUGAGAGUGAGACAUUUUUUUUAAAAAAAAUGCGUAAACUAAAGAUGGUGUGACAACUGACAAAACAUUAUAUCUAGAAUUAUAAUCUUUUUUGAAUCGACGGAGCACAUCCCAUGAUCUAUUGUUUUUUUUUCGAAGAAAAAAAAGAGAGAUAUGGAUAGCUGUGUCGUGAUCCGUAUGCCACGACUGCCAACAAACACCCCGGAUAUGUCGUCCCAAUCAAUAAUUCAAUAUCCAGCAGAUACCUCCCGUAGUCCCGUUCCACUCUUUUUCUAUAUGAUGAAUUGAAGCAAGCGCGAGUCAUGCCCAUGAUGCAUGUUUGUUGCGGAUGAGCCCUGGCCUGGUCAAACCAAGCACGUUGUUCACUUGUUCUCUGCUCUGACUGAACCCGUGGAGUCAAAUCAACUAUAGCUCGGCACGGCAUGGGUUUUGUUUGACUCUGAUAUGGCUUGCCUUUGAGGCCUUGUUUCCAAUUUUUUUCAAAAUUCUUCGUUACAUCAGAUUUUAAGGCAUAUAUAUGAAGUGUUAAAUAUAAAUAAAAAUAAAAAUUAAUUAUAUAGUUUAUCUUUUGACCAUAAUUAGUUUAUGAUUAGACAAAAUUUGCCAUAAACAAACGAAAAUACUACAGUAGCGAAAUCCAAAAAAUUUCGCGAACUAAACCAGACCUGAGCUUCAAUAUCAGACUCACUCGACAACCGCCCGGUCAAUUUAUAGUUACCACUAUAUAUUAUUACCAGCAAUGGCCACGGCCGACGGCGCGUCUUUGUUCCUGCUGUUCUUUGCUGGAGCAGGAAUUCAAUCCAGCGCCGCCAGAGUUUUCUACUCCGUCGACUUGCCGGCGCCGCCGGCAGAUGAUGAGGUCCGUGGACACGGCCACCGGCGCACGCCGCGCACGUCGUCAGUGACCUGAGACCUGGAUCUGCCCGUUGUGGCAAGGACGGGACAGGCAGUGAGGAUACCCGGUGCUAGCUCGCGGCCAUUUCAAUGGCAGCAAGGACUUGGGAUCUGCGCCUGCACUGGCGUUCGUUAGUCGUUACGCAUUCACCCAACUCGAGGCAGCUCCGAGUUUGAGCCAUCAAAAAUCAAGCUGCCCCACAGCAAAGAAAAGGCACAGCGACAGGGCAGAGCGGCUGUCCCUGACUCCUUGUCCGUAUCGAGGCUGGGCAACGGACGUCUGGCGUUUUCUUCCUUUCAUCAAGAUGCCAGCGUGCAUUUCUCAGACCAGACCAGAGCACAGCUUGGAAUUUCCUGUGCCUUUGAUGACUCCUGGCUGCUGUUAAGUGUUAACAAAACAACCAAACAUGCCGCUCGCAUUUUGACUUGUAGUAUAUAAUUUACAUUCCUUCAGUCUUUAAUAACACCCUUCAAUCCCUCUUCAGUCUCCACUAGAAUAAUGAACAAGGCCUUACAUAUACUCCGUAGGUAGAACAAGGCCCUACAUAGGCACAAAGCAAGCGAACAAGUAAAGUAAAUUUUACUUCAAACCUCCUACCUUCAGCUACAUGCACAAAUGGAUGCUCUAUUUACUUUUUCUAGUUUUCUCAGGAAUAAUUCAGCAGGUGCUCUUGUGGGCAACUAGUUACUGGAGCUCUUUGGCAGGGCUCCUGUAUGGGCUUCAGCUCUGGCUUGUAGCCUCGUACAGGAGCUGUGCCAAACGCCUGUUUUGGAAAGAGCUUUGCAUGGGGAGCUAGUCAAGAGCCAGAGCCAUUUUUUGCCUACGCAAGAAAAGUCUCAAAAACGAGUUUCGCGUGGCUUCUUGCUAGGUUCGCAUCAUCUAGUUCCGAAUGAGCCAUUUUGUCAAACAUUUUUCACAACGGCUUUAGCUUCUCCAGAGGAGCUGCUUCUUCAGAAGAGCUAGAGCCGAAGCCAUUUCUGGAGGAGCCAGAGCCCUACCAAACAGCUAAGUCAAAAACGGCGGUGUGGUAUACUCCUUCAAGUUUUUUUCUUCUUUCUAAACAAAGAAUAAUUCACUGAACAUGCAAAUGGCAGCGACCUUUUUUUGCCCCCAUGGUACAAGGGGUUAAGGCUUCCUCCGGCGGUGUUUGCUCUUUUUUUUGUUGGUGUCCAGACAAUACGCACUUUUGUCAUUAUUUGACUAUAGAAAAAAUAUAUAAAUUAUCUGUUCUUUAAUUGUACCAAUUGAUUGUACAGAGAUUGCUACCUACAAAUUCAAGCACAUGGAAUAUUUUUAGCAACAAUAAAGAACAUAGUAUAACUAGUAGCUAGAUAUCUAAUAAUCCACGAAAGAAUGUAGUUUUAGUUGCAUUCUUUGUUAAGGCGUCUAAAUAUUGACCAAAUAUAUAUACAUAUAUAGAUAUAAAUAUUAAUGCUCAUGACCCCAAAUAAUAUAGUAUAAAAAAUAUCUCACGAUAAAUAUAAUAACACUUAUUUGAUAUUAUAAAUAUUUUUUUUAUUUAUAGUUAGUCAAACUCGAGACACUUUAUCUUGGUACUAUGCCAAAAUUGCAUUAUUUUGUGGAUAGAGAGACCGAGGGAGUAGCUAAUAAGUUAUUUGGAUCUACCUACUAAUAAGUUACUAAUAGGCACGAAGUAGUUGGUAUCUAUUGGCACCUUUUCUCAGAAUCACGCAAAACUUUUAUGCGUCUUUGUAUCAAGGAAGAGAAAAAAUUUAAUACAACACGCCUUAGUGGUGCCCCCAGUGAUCAGAAAAGUUGUAUGUGGAUGCUCAUAUCCUCCCUAGUGUACUAAAAAUGUAUCUCACCUAUUAGUAGUUCUAAAACUAUACUUAUAGAAUUAAUAUUUAGCAACUCUCUAAUUAAUAGUUAGUAGAUACAUUACUAGGACUUUUGAAUGCAUUAGUAUUAAUUUUAGCCACUGAUUACUAGCACCAAUAGAUCAAAUGAACCCUAAGAUACUACCCCUUUCUAAAAUAAGUGUCAUUCUCGCUUUUCGGGGAGUAAAAUGUUUUUAACUUUGAUUAAAUAUAUAUACAAAUAUUAAUAUUUAUAUUACAUGAUUAGUAUCAUUAGAUAUAUAGAUUAUUGAAUCUAUUUUUAAUAAAGUUUUUAUUUAGAGAUACAAUUAUUGCUAAUAUUUUUUCUACAAACCUAAUUUUAAAAGGAUUGACGUACAUGGAUACCUAUAGCGACAUUUGUUUUGGGACGUUAUGGAUAAUGACUCGCGGUUCCAAAUGUCAAUGGCGUGGUACAAAAUGUCAAAAAACGAUGCCCGACCAAAUUUCGAUAGAUUGAACCUGAACACGGCACUUCUUUGAAGCAUCAAUAAAGGCUAGUCGUAGCCUGAAACAAAAUUCCUUAAACAAGGAGCCCUUUGGUGCAAAAGUGGCGGUACCAGAGGAAGUAUAUAAAUUUUCGUAUCCUUUUGCCUGCCAUUUCUGCCGCGCCCGCUGCCUGCCUGCCGCUGCCGCCCCCUGCUUCCACUUCUUUCCCCUCCUCGUCAAGCUCCCCUGAAUCGCGGCAGCAGCACCGGAGCAGCCAGGCGAAGGAUUUUCCCCGCUCCGAAUCUACCCGGCUCCGCCCGAUGGGCUCGCUGAUGUCCUGCCUCUCCGACCCCUGCCCGUCGGGGAACAGGUCCCCGCCGCUGCAGGCGAAGCGGCGCUCCUCCACCUCUUCCCGCGGCCGUGGCGGGAGAGACUCCGCCAAGGCCUCCGUGUCCUUUGACGAGGAGGCGCUGGCCGCGGCGGCAGCGCUCGUGCUGGGGCAGAGGGGCGCCGCCGGUGGCCUGGGGGCAUUCGAGCGGUCCGCGUCGGUGCGAUACGCUGCCAAGCGCCAGAGCCAGGGCCCGCCACUGCCCCGGAGCAGCAGCACGCGUCCGAGGUCGCUCGCUGACCCCGAGCUCCAACCGCAGCAGCUCCUCGCCAAGGUGAGAACCCUGCCAUACUACUCCUUCCUCCAUAGCUUGCCUGCCCCUCUCGGCCUUUACUCCCCAUUACUUGGUUUGGUUGGUCAUUGGUGUGCGUGCCGCCGCGUUGAAUUCUUUGUGCAGUCUCGUCUGACUUUAUGCCUUAUUUUCUGCGAGUUUCCACUGCGAUUGGCUGUCCUUGCGUCGAAUGUAAGGAAAGCAGGGGCUAUGGGAUCCCCCUACUCGGUUCUCUCGUUGUCGCGGUUCAAUUUUCUUACGUUUCUUUAGAUGAAAUUUAGUGUUUGCUCGAUUCAGUUGCAGAAAGGCACGAUCUUUGGUGAUUCAGAUUCUUCUUGUUUUUCUGAUUUAUUGUAUUGCAUCAUGGCAUGCGUCAAUGCCUGGCCAGUUUGCAGUUUAAUUCGAUGCUCCCUCGUGGACGAAUACACCCCUGAUUUGUUUCUAUGAAGGAAAGUAUGAAUUUGGCUCUGGUAAGAACUAGGCAGGCGAUUACAUUUCGCACUUCGUGACUUUGGGACCGGGCAAUCUGGUUUACAUAAGCCAUAGGCGAGAGACCGUUCAAUUCCACCUGCAAAUCCGAACCGGUGCAAUGCACGUGCUUGCUUCCAUCUGUAGUUAUCAACAUAUAGACUAAGACCUGACUUUAACAUCUGUAGUUGAUGAAUACUCUUGAGAGGAGUGUGAACAAGUAGUUAUCUCACAACGACCAAGCACUGAUUUGGUCAAAAUUUAGAGGAACUGGGAAACUUCCGUUGUUGACUGAUAGUAGUUGGUCGUACAUUGGUUUUGUUCAGAAGCUCUUAUGCAUAGGGGCUGUAGAAACUGAUCGAUUGUUGUUUCUAGCUCUGGUGGGAUCAUAUUGGCUUGUGUGUUCAUUGCUCUGGAGAAAGGACAAAGGAGAGCCUAGGAGGUCCCAACUUGUGCUGGUGGGGGAUCUGGAUAUUGUUUACUUCAAAUUGUUUCAGUAUCGACACAAGAUAUGUUGUUCCCAGGUUUGCCCUGGCUAUGAAUGGGAUGGGCAGCCAGCGUGGCUACUAAUUUGUCUUGAGUAUAUUAUAUACUGGCAUUUCUAAUUACUAUAACAGUGGUGUUGACUAGUAAGAGGAUAACGGCCAUGAAGGAAACCGAGGAUGAUUGGGAUUGGGAGGUUUGUGUUUGACAUUUUCAAAGUCAUCUGUCAGCUACCGAAUUCGAUGCUGGUAUGCUAAAUUUGUUGGAAACUGUGAAAAGUUGAACAGAAUCAGCAUGGUAUUUGACAUUUCGAGGUGUUUCUUUCUUUUCGUGCUUAUCAGCAAACAGUCAUCUCCACAGUCCACAUUUGUGACUCAGUAUAUUGUGUGCAUAUUUAUCAGGACCUCAGAUACUUUGUCGUUGUCUAGUUUCCUACCCAUUUGAUUUUAGUGUUUGAUAAUUUGUGUUCCUAGAUUUUAUCUUACUGCAAUUUUUGACUUAUGGUUCAUUCUCAAACAGGAUUUGAAUACUAAGGAUUUGGAAACCAACGUCAUUGUUCUUGUUCAUGGAGGUGGAUUUGGCGCUUGGUGUUGGUACAAGACUAUAUCACUUCUUGAAGAUAGUGGGUUCAAAGUUAACGCCAUCGACUUAACAGGCUCUGGGAUUCAUUCUUACGACACAAACAAGAUUAGCAGUCUUUCAGAGUACGCUGAACCACUUACGUCUUACCUUAAAGGCUUAGGUGGUGCUGAAAAGGUUACUCUCUUUCCAUAUAUCAAGUUACGUUCCAUUUGGGAUAUUGUAGUAUCCAUUGACUAUUGUGGCACUGUGCAUGAUAUUUGGUAAUUUACAUGCUUUCAUGCUUCGACUGUAGUCCUUAACAAUCUUAUAAUAAAAACUGGGAUGACAGCGACUAACCUAUCAUUAGAUGAGAGUUCUAUAAUGGCAAAGUAAUACUUGUUCCUGCAAAAAAUUGUAUUCUACAUUUCUGCAUAAGCCAUGGUAAGUUGCAGGCACAUGGAUUUCAGUACAGCGCCAUACUUUAGGAUCUUGUAGGCCGCCAAUGCUAUCUUCUUCCAUCUCACACAUUGUAGGUAAAAAUAGCUAGUGCAUCAGCAUGAAAAAUUUGAGUGAAUUGUUAAUCUAAAUGUCAAUGGACUUGGGUUGGACUUUAAUCUUUUGAGAUGGUAAGAUUUUAGUAGUGUUACAUUUAAUCACUCAAUUUACAAAUACUGAAGUAGGAAAAACCAUAGGCAUAAGUACAAUAUGCCUGACAUUCUGGGGAAUCAAUUUUGUAAGUGCUAAAUUCUGUAGACUUUUUCUUUCUGUAAAGAUCACAAUCAUAACAUGAAUCAUCAUAACUAAUUCUCAAAUCCCAGACUGAAGUGGUCCCAGAUUAUGGUGCAGAACCUAAGCACCACCUAACUUUAGUUAUGAUUUGAUGCUUGGGGUGACAUUAUUAUUAUGUAUGCACCAGUGACUUAGGUAGUUGCUUGCCACUCAAGUCGAUCUGUAUCUCUUAAAAUGAUCCUGGAAAUAUUUUGUGUACGAUAAAAUGCAUCAUCUCGAUAUUUUCCAAGAUUUUAUAGAUAAGUCUUUAGCAAUGCCAAUAUUGAUAUUUCAAAGCAUCAUAUGAAGUUUUCAAGCGACUUUUGUACUGGCAUGUUCAGACUUAUGUGAAGAUCCCUGCUUUGUUUGAUUUUUUUUUUGAGCAUAUUCUUAUCUGACCAGAAAUAUAACAAUCGAAUACCUCCAACAUUAUGCAGGUAAUUUUGGUCGCUCAUGAUCUUGGUGGUGUCUGUGUAUCCUAUGCAAUGGAGAUGUUCCCAUCCAAAGUUGCCAAGGCUGUUUUCCUUUGUGCAGCAAUGCUGACAAAUGGAAACAGUGCCCUUGACAUGUUCCAACAGCAGGUUGGUCUCCUGGCCCAGCGUUAAUUCUGUUGAACAACUGGCAUUAUAACGAAUCAAAAAGACAAGGACAUUAAACGUUGCCUUGUCUGGCAUCAAAGUAGCAUUGUCUUCCUAUGAUUAUGUCCUGAUGCCGUCCUUCCGCUCCAGAUGGACACAAACGGUACUCUCCAAAAGGCGCAAGAAUUCGUCUACUCCAACGGCAAGGACCGUCCUCCAACUGCCAUCAACAUCGACAGGGCCUUGCUUAGAGACCUGUUGUUCAACCAGAGCCCUUCCAAGGUACUAGGAUUUUGGAGUACUUUGUUACUGUCACCGAGACAAUCACCUCCAUUCACAUCACUGAAUCCUACUUCUGAAUUCUGAAGUUGUGAUAUGACACCCCCUACCUUGUGACUGUGCAGGACGUGUCGCUGGCCUCGGUGUCCAUGAGGCCCAUCCCCUUCGCCCCUGUGCUGGAGAAGCUUGUGCUCACCGCUGAGAACUAUGGCUCGGUGCGGCGGUUCUACGUGGAGACCACGGAGGACAAUGCAAUUCCUCUGCCUCUCCAGCAGAGCAUGUGUGGUGCCAACCCACCGGAGAAGGUGCUGCGGCUGAAGGGGGCGGACCACGCACCCUUCUUCUCCAAGCCGCAGGCGCUGCACAAGACCCUGGUCGAGAUCGCCACCAUGCCGCCGCCGGUCCAGGCUUCGUGAGAUGGUGUUUGUUUAGCUUCAGGUUUCGCCGGCCGGCGAGCUUGCAUGGCUGUUGUACAUGCUGAGGAUGGUAUGGUUUGUGGCGGUGUGGCAGCAAGUAGGGGUUCUAGAAUUUCAGCGUCGUCUCAACGAAAGGCAUCCUUCCAUAAUAUACUCACAGGCAUCAGUUUUUUAUAUAUUAGAAAAAAAACAAAUCUUAUUCUGGCCUGGAGAAUCAAUCAGUUCAUUAUUAUAGUUCAGCCUCGUGCUAGAUAUAAAGCAAAUAAAAUUGAAGAGUAGUAAACAAAGCAUUAUAAAACCUAUUACAAGAGAACUGUCCAACGGCAAUCUUCAUUACCAUAAUCUUCAACAUUGACAUUGCCCAUACAUCUGGCGUCGCUAACUCACUAUCGUGAUGAGCUCGCUGCAGUUACCUGCGUCUGCUCUGCACGCAAUGGAUAGGAAAAGGAGAGUUUUCCUCUGGUCGGGGGACAAGUCAGUGAUUUCUUCUCCGACCGGCUGUCUAGUCGCUUGGACGAAGGUCUGCAGUCCCCGUGAGUUCGGUGGCUUGGGCGUCAGAGAUCUGGAAAUUCAAAACAUCUGCUUGCUUAUUAAAUUGCUGCAUCGACUACACUGUCCACAAUAGUCUGCUUGGGCAGAAUGGGUGCAGAGACGGGCUUCAACCAUAACCUUAAACGGUGACCUCCAUGGCGAUCACUGGCGGACCCUGAGGGCCAUCAUCCCACUAUAUCAGGCCAUUACUUCUGUCGUGCUUGGCGACGGCAAGUGCACCUCGUUCUGGAGUGAUGUCUGGUUUCAGGAUGAACCACUGGCAGACAGAUUUCCAGCACUCAUGUCUCACUGCACCCUAAAGCAGGCUUCGGUGUGGGAAAUCAAAACAACCGGUAUACUGCCGACCUUAGUGCCUCGUCUGUCAACCCCAGCAGAACACGAGCUACAACUAGUGCUCCAAAUCAUCGAUCAAAUAAAGCUCACUGCGGUACGCGACAAGAGAAGCUCACCUUUCUUCAGGCCAGACAACAGUCUCGACAGUGGUGCGCUAUACAAGAUGAUCAAGGCAAGGGGACAGGAAGACAAUCCAAGGGCAAACUUCAUUUGGAAGAGCCUGGCUCCUCCAAGGGUGCAACUGUUUUUAUGGCUUUUAAUGCAAAGGAGGAUUCAGUGCCGCUUGGUGCUCUUGAGGAAAGACAUCGUUGAUUCCGGAAUUUGUGAAAUCUGCAACGCUGCCGAUGAGUCACCGGAACAUGUCAUCCAUGGCUGCUGCCUUGGACGCGGUGUUUGGACAAGCUUGAAUCUUCUGUCCAUAAUCUCAGUGGACAUGAAUGACCUCCAUUCAGUUCAAGCUCAUUCCUCUACCCAAUCCCAGAGCUGGCGUCCUUUGUUGCUUUGGUAUGCUGGCAGAUUUGAAAGGCGAGGAAUGCAAGGAUAUUCAGGAAUGAAACGCAAACGGUGUUUCAUGUGCUGCAGGAGUGCCUAUCUGCUGCCACUAUGUGGAACACAGAUUCCCAACAAGGAAAAAAUCAAUCAUAGAUCAAUGGUGCUCCAUUCUGGUAAUGGCUAGAGAAGGGCUAGAAUAGAGGUUGGUAGGCAAGCUCUCAAACAACAGCAACAUGUUUGCUGCUUUGUAACCCUGUCGCACUCUUUAUCCCCCCACUCUGUAACCUUUGUAACCUAAUAAAUUUUUUCAGGUGGGGAUCGACUCCCCCCCCCCCUGACCCAAAAAAAACUAUCGUGACCAAAGUUUGAACGGUGGAGUUUCAGGAGACAUUUCUAUGACAUCUUGGCCCUAGUCUAUCUGACAUUCUAUCUAAAAUACGAACGGCGUAACUUUUUUUUUUAAAAAAAAAAAUGAUGAAGCAGGAGGGCCGGCUCCAAUGGUAGGAUGGAACAAUCCAAUGUUGGGCUGCGCUUUCGUUGCAAUUUUCCCGUGUUGGGCUAAGUCCUUAAUUUGGUUGGAGUCUGGGCCGCCGAGAGCUGAGACGGACCAGCGUCUGACAGCCGUGCUGGUUCCGAUUCGAAUCCAAUAUACCGCGGCUGCACCUUGGCGUCGAGUUGCCGACUUGCUUUCAUCGGAAUCGAUUUUGCUUUCGCCGAUUACGACUUCGAUUCUGCACUGUAAAUGCAGCUCCAUCUAUAAAAUCAAGGCCCCAAGCCAGCCAGCCAGCCAGCCCCCGCAACACAUCCCAGAUCAGACAGAGCUCCUUCCUUCGUUGGCGGACUUGGUAGCCGGCCGCAAUGGCGAGAUAUAUGUCGUCGUGCUCGUGCUCGUCCUCAUCGUCUAAGCGGCAGAAGUUGAACAACCAUGAUCGUUACGCGAUUAUUAGGAGUAGCAAUCCGCGGCGGAAGCAGCACCUGUACCUGGCGCUGGAUGACUGGAAUGGCGGGUACAGUAUCCACAAGAUUGACGCCGACGAAAUCAUGGAUGACGACGACGAUGAAGCCGCCACCGCCGCCGCUUCAGCAACUGACCGGGAGCAGCUGCACAAGCUCCCGGAGCCUGCUGCCGUCCGGUUAGCGUCGCCAGUUGUGGGUUGCCGCAUGGCCUUCGCCGCCAUGGGCACCAACAUCUUCGUGGCCACCAACCCGCGCUGCAGGUACGACGACGCCGCCCCCAAACUGUUGGUCUACGACGCGGCGACAGGCGCUCUCUCAGGCGGCCCGCACCUUCCGGACCAGGAACGGCUCUACGACUUUGGUGCCGCAAUGGCUGUCGGUGAAAGGCUGUACACCUUGACGUCGGUUUGUUUGGAGCUCAACGAGUGCCCCUCCUUCCGGGCCUUGUCGUGGGAGCCAACCACCAGGCCCGGCCGCGGCCUCGGUGUAUGGGAUCCGCGCAUGGAGUGGUCCUGGAGCUGUGUGCCGCCGCCGCGGUUCCAUGGGUUCGACAUCGCCGCCUACGCGCUGCACCCGGACGGACGCACCAUUUUCAUAUCGACGGCGCACCACAGUACCCACUCCUUCGACACUAGCAGCGGCGUGUGGACGGAGCUCGGGGACUGGGUGCUGCCCUUUCGAGGCCAAGCCUACUUCGACGCCGAGUUGGACGCAUGGGUUGGACUUCACCACAAAGAGGGUGGAUACGUCUGCUAGCUGCUGCCCAGUCGCCUCUCGCAGUCGCAGCGCCACCGAGCCGCCCGAGUGCAGCAAGCUCAACGAGAAGCUCUUCGGCAAGGAGGACUACCCAAAGGAGCAGCGCUUGAAUACCACCCUUACCUACAUGGGUGACAGCAGGUUUUGCCUCAUCGAGAACGUCAUGCCUCGUGAUAAUGAUCUCAACGCUGUGCUCCACGUUACGUUGUUUGGCCUCAAGUUUGACCAGAAGGGAGAUCGAGCUGCAAACUAAGAUUCGCCGCAAGUCAAGAUCAUAUGCAGUGUCCAAGAAUACAUUCCUAUUCUCUCACGCAGCAUUCUGGCUGUAAUGUACUCCGUAGAACCUAAUAAUUACAUUCUGGGCGGCCGGAUGCUUGCAGCAUACUGCUAACCUCUUGUAUGCAUAUUAUACUAAUUAAAUCUACCUAGAGAUUCCCAUUAAUCUGAUCUUAGUGCACAAGAUGCUUAAUUACUUCAUUAUCUAUUAUUAGGAUCAUGUCCAUGUAUUGCAACAGACAACGGAAUACCGUCACGACAAGUUUGAACAUGUGUUAUAUACUAUAAAAAAAUAUUUGAAUGUGACGCAACAUUUUUUUAGCCAUUUAUCACUCUUCACGAGGCACAAACAAUUAGAAUGUAAUUCAAGUUCUGAUUUAAAAUCAAAAUAAUCUAGUUCAAACCAUAACAACUAGGUUCGCUACAACUAUCUAUUCUACUGUGCUCUUGUUGUGAACGUGUACAAAGACAAGGCUUCACCUUUCUUUUCAUAAGUUUCUAACGAUAUAAUUAAGUUAUAAGGGUUGCAUGAUGCACGGUUAGAUCAAGACCCAAAUAGAUCUACUAACAGAAAAACACAAAAGCAUAACAACAUACGAAACAAAUACACAAACGAGAAUAACACCGAAACACGAUGUUUUUUUAACAAGAUUCAAUGAUGUGUCUACAUCAUCAGAGUAUGACUACAAGAGCUUCUCCCUAUAAAAUGCAGCCACAUCAGCCUACCUAAACCAACCACCAAGUCAUCUCAUGAUUACGAUAGGAGUUGGCUCAUAUUUAUGCUCUCCUUGGAUACAAAGCUCGACUCUAAUCCUAUCUUAGCUGCUAAUAUAACUCAAGUCAUAGCGUAACCAAACUAUACAAAUAUUCAACACAUAUCUAAUAAACUCCACCUUAGUGAAUAUGCAUGCCACCUUGAAGUCGUCCAUGCUAAAUAUUAGGGUAGUAUUUAUGCUCAUUAACAUGUUCAUUUUUAAUUAUUAAUUAUCAUAGCAAAAUCUGUGCUAGUGCAUAUUUAUUAGUGUAUAAUUAGUUGCUAAUAUUUUAGAACAAAGAUAUAGUUAGUACUUAGUAUGCUAUUUGUAUCCAAUUCACCCUCAUCCAAACAAAACAAAAAAUGGCAUGUCGCAUCCACCCAUACAAACAAGUAGCAUGAAUCAUUUUAUCCCUCAGACCAAACAUUAUACAUGACACCCUUAAUCUAUGGAGUUGUCGUUGUGCUCCUUUAUUGCAUAUACCCAUACAUACACAUACUCACCUAUAUGAACGUAUACACACACAUCUCACACUUAUGUAUACCUCCGAAAGACGAAGAUGAACAUAUCACAAGGAUUUAAAACCCAGUUGAACAAGUUCUACCAUAAAAAACUCGAUCAGUACUACAAGUUCUACUAGGUACUUUCACUGAGCAUCUACUCACUACACUAUAAAGGUAGGAAGGACCCCUCUUCUUUUAUAAUAAAUACCUCCAUCUCUAAAUAAGUUAAUUUCUCAAAGUAACCUAAUCUUGUAAAUUUGGCCGAAUUUAUAGAAGCUAACAUUGGUAUCAUUAGAGACACCUAAAUAUAUUUUAUAGUGUACUUAUUUUGUGUUAUAAACGUGAAUGACUUUCUUAUAAAUGCUUAUAUUUUGUGUCAUACAUUGCUGUUAUUUUUUCUACAAAAGUUUGACUUAGAAUGUAACUCUGAAAUUUAUUUAUUUAGGGGUGAAUGGAGUUUAAUAAAUAAAUAAAUAGAAUUGGCGCGUCCAAAAUAACACCGUGUUUUUGUACGACGUGCUCGGCGGCUACGUGAUAUAAAGCCUGAUAGAGUGAUAGGGGCCAGGCCUGGUAUAUAUGCGGCUAUACGGCUUUGCAUUGGAUCCGCUUGUGUUGUCUGCGUACACUGUAAACUUGCUGGGCCGGCGUGUUCAAGCCUAGUAUAGGACAUGGGCCGAUGCCCGGUAGCUAUGAGAUACUUUGGCGUGACGCCUCAGUGAAGAAACUGACGAUAGGAUUAGGAAUUAGAUCGUCUGGGGCUGGGUGAGUCACAGAUGCUAAUCUGAUGGCUCUAGAAUUGGAACGGCUUGAUGAGUUCAUCACGGAACACAGAUGCAUACACUGAUGAUAGAUGUCUCUGAAGAAGUUAACGAUAUGUUAUGACUUGGAACCAGUGAAUGAGCUAGUGACUAGUCACACCGCAUAAUAAAAAAACUACGUAGUGUGCACUCUACCUACAGAGCGUUACUACCUCAUCAUCCGAUGAGACGACACGACACGACACGACACGACACGAGACGCCUUCAAUCGUGCGUUUCGCCACGCCCCCGGCUUUAUAUAUGUACGUACAUGGUACACGUCUCUUGCUUCCCCGGAAAGCAUCGAUACACGUCUCUUUAAUACCAGGUAGAAAUGAAAAUAGAGAUUGAGAUAAAGAUUUAUUCUAUACCAUCUGAUCGUCAUUGUUAGCUAGGUAGCAUGGUUAGCGAGUAUUAGGUUAUGAUCUCCUUUCUGCUAGAAGGGUAGAACCACAUUAACCUUCUAUUGUGCCAUAUUUGUGGCACGGCGUUAUAACUUUUACAUUUCUUGAUCUUAAAAUAAAGAUGCACAAAUCUUUUGUGAGAAAAAACUAUUGCAUUCCAUCUAUAUAUUUUGUUAAAAUAGACGAUUUUAUUGCCCACACAUAAUGCUAUAAUCAGGAGGAAAAAUCAAGGCAUUUAUAUCAAAAGAUAACAGGCGAAUUUAAAUGCGUUAUUAUUGUUCAAGCAAAGGAGGCCCUCGAUCACGCCUUGAUAUUUGAUAAUAUAAUGCAGUCAUUAGUACUGCCAAAUACUCCUGUAUAAUAUGCGAUUGGAAUUUACUAACGGAAAUCAGUAAAUUAUUUGCCGCGACAGUUGCCAAAUCGAAGCCAUUUCCACCACCGCACUCUCCCUUAUUUAAAGGCUCCCUCCCUCUGUACAUUCCACACCAGCCACUCCAUCAUCACCCUUCACUCAUCAGCCAUGGUGCUCACCAUGGCCACCGGCCAAGAGGACUCCCUCCUCCUGCUCCUCCUCCCCACCACCUCCCCACUCCCGCCCCUCAUGGCCGUGUUCAUCCUAGCCGCCGUCCUCCUGUGGCUCUCCCCCGGUGGUCCUGCGUGGGCGCUCUCCCGCUGCCGCCGCCCGCCGUCCGGCCCAACGGGCGUGGUCACCGCGCUCUCAAGCCCCGUGGCGCACCGCACCCUGGCGGCGCUGUCCCACGCCGUAGACGGCGGCAAAGCACUGAUGGCCUUCUCGGUCGGGCUCACCCGCCUCGUCGUGUCGAGCCAGCCCGACACGGCGCGAGAGAUCCUCGUCAACCCCGCGUUCAGCGACCGCCCCAUCAAGGACGCGGCUCGCCACCUGCUCUUCCACCGCGCCAUGGGCUUCGCGCCCUCCGGAGACGCGCACUGGCGCGGGCUCCGCCGCCUCGCCGCCAACCACCUGUUCGGCCCGCGCCGCGUGGCGGCGGCCGCGCACCACCGCGUCUCCAUCGGCGAGGCCAUGGUCGCCGACGUCGCCGCUGCCAUGGCCCGCCACGGCG